GAUGAACGCUGGCGGCGUGCCUAACACAUGCAAGUCGAACGAAGCACUUCCCUUCGGGGAUUUGACUUAGUGGCGGACGGGUGAGUAACGCGUGAGCAAUCUGCCUUUCAGAGGGGGAUAACGACUGGAAACGGUCGCUAAUACCGCAUAACGUCAUUUGAGGGCAUCCUCGGGUGACCAAAGUUUUUUCGCUGAAAGAUGAGCUCGCGUCCCAUUAGCUAGUUGGUGAGGUAACGGCCCACCAAGGCGACGAUGGGUAGCCGGACUGAGAGGUUGAACGGCCACAUUGGGACUGAGACACGGCCCAGACUCCUACGGGAGGCAGCAGUGGGGAAUAUUGCGCAAUGGGGGCAACCCUGACGCAGCAACGCCGCGUGCGGGAUGACGGCCUUCGGGUUGUAAACCGCUUUCAGCAGGGACGAAACUGACGGUACCUGCAGAAGAAGCACCGGCUAACUACGUGCCAGCCGCCGCCGUAAGAC
rnacentral:rRNA from 1 species